GGGAGAAGACGCAGAGCGCUGCUGGGCUGCCGGGUCUCCCGCUUCCCCCUCCUGCUCCAAGGGCCUCCUGCAUGAGGGCGCGGUAGAGACCCGGACCCGCGCCGUGCUCCUGCCGUUUCGCUGCGCUCCGCCCGGGCCCGGCUCAGCCAGGCCCCGCGGUGAGCCAUGAUUCGCCUCGGGGCUCCCCAGACGCUGGUGCUGCUGACGCUGCUCGUCGCCGCUGUCCUUCGGUGUCAGGGCCAGGAUGUCCAGGAGGCUGGCAGCUGUGUGCAGGAUGGGCAGAGGUAUAAUGAUAAGGAUGUGUGGAAGCCGGAGCCCUGCCGGAUCUGUGUCUGUGACACUGGGACUGUCCUCUGCGACGACAUAAUCUGUGAAGACGUGAAAGACUGCCUCAGCCCUGAGAUCCCCUUCGGAGAGUGCUGCCCCAUCUGCCCAACUGACCUCGCCACUGCCAGUGGUUGUAAUUUAUUUAUUUCCUGUUCAACAUAAAUAAAUUACUUGCAAGCACUGCAAACACGCUCCCAUAGAUGCUGGUCGUCUCUGCAAAGCAGAGGGGCUAGUUAUCCAUGGGACCUGGUAGCUGGGGUAGAAAGGAAAGGCCACUUCUCACUUGCAGGUUGAAACUGAGUGAACGAGCCUGAGACACUAGAGGGGUCCUUCUUUGCCCAACAUCUCCAAA
rnacentral:lncRNA from 1 species